rnacentral:rRNA from 1 species
UGGGGAAUUUUGCACAAUGGGGGAAACCCUGAUGCAGCGACGCCGCGUGAUUUAGAAGGCCUUCGGGUUGUAAAAAUCUUUUCUAUGGGAAGAAAAUGACAGUACCAUAGGAAUAAGGACCGGCUAAUAACGUGCCAGCAGCCGCGGUAAUACGUAAGGGCCGAGCGUUGUCCGGAAUCAUUGGGCGUAAAGGGUACGUAGGCGGGUAAGCAAGUUAGAAGUGAAAUCCUAUAGCUCAACUAUAGUAAGCUUUUAAAACUGCUCAUCUUGAGGUAUGGAAGGGAAAGUGGAAUUCCUAGUGUAGCGGUGAAAUGCGCAGAUAUUAGGAGGAAUACCGGUGGGGAAGGCGACUUUCUGGCCAUAACCUGACGCUGAGGUACGAAAGCGUGGGUAGCAAACAGG